rnacentral:rRNA from 1 species
ACUUAGUGGCGAACGGGUGAGUAUAAUGUGGGUAUCUGCCUUUUGGUUUGGAAUAACACGAGGAAACUUGUGCUAAUACCGGAUAAGCCUUUACGGGGAAAGUUUUAACGCCAAAAGAUGAGCCCGCACUUGAUUAGCUAGUUGGUAAGGUAAUGGCUUACCAAGGCUACGAUCAAUAGCUGAUCUGAGAGGAUGAUCAGCCACAUUGGGACUGGGACACGGCCCAAACUCCUACGGGAGGCAGCAGUGGGGAAUCUUGCACAAUGGGGGAAACCCUGAUGCAGCGAUGCCGCGUGAGUGAAGAAGGCCUUUGGGUUGUAAAGCUCUUUCGUCGGGGAAGAAAAUGACUGUACCCGAAUAAGAAGGUCCGGCUAACUUCGUGCCAGCAGCCGCGGUAAUACGAAGGGACCUA